rnacentral:rRNA from 1 species
CCUACGGGGCGCACCAGCGGGGAAUAUUGCACAAUGGGCGCAAGCCCGAUGCAGCCAUGCCGCGUGUAUGAAGAAGGCCUUCGGGUCGUAAAGUACUUUCAGCGGGGAGGAAGGCGAUAAGGUUAAUAACCUUGUCGAUUGACGUUACCCGCAGAAGAAGCACCGGCUAACUCCGUGCCAGCAGCCGCGGUAAUACGGAGGGUGCAAGCGUUAAUCGGAAUUACUGGGCGUAAAGCGCACGCAGGCGGUGUGUCAAGUCGGAUGUGGAAUCCCCGGGCUCAACCUGGGAACUGCAUUCGAAACUGGCAGGCUAGAGUCUUGUAGAGGGGGGUAGAAUUCCAGGUGCAGCGGUGAAAUGCGUAGAGAUCUGGAGGAAUACCGGUGGCGAAGGCGGCCUCCUGGACAAAGACUGACGCUCAGGUGCGAGAGCGUGGGGAGCAAACAGGAUUAGAUACCCGCGUAGUC